rnacentral:rRNA from 1 species
GCUAACGGCCAUACCACCCUGAGCACGCCCGAUCUCGUCUGAUCUCGGAAGCUAAGCAGGGUCGGGCCUGGUUAGUACUUGGAUGGGAGACCGCCUGGGAAUACCAGGUGCUGUAAGCU